CCCGGGAAGGAGGCGGCUGCGGGGAAGGGAAAUCUGGAGCGGAGCGGCUGGGCGUCCGGAGGCUGUUCGGUUGCAGGGCCAGCCGAUGAAGAUGGCCACGAUACCUCCUGAAGGCGGAGAAGAUCUUUCUGGUCUCUCUCUGGAGCAGCUGUUGGGUUUCUCGGAGGAGAAUCCAACUCGGGUCUCGUUGCCAGGGAACCCAAGGUUGAGGAUGGAAACCAGUGAAACAUCUACAUGUGGUGGAGCUGCAACAGCUCAGGGCUUGGUAACCUUUGAGGAGGUGGCUGUGUAUUUCACAGAGGACGAGUGGGAGCUGCUGGAUCCCAGCCAGAGAGCUUUAUAUGGAGAAGUCAUGCUGGAGAAUUCUAGGAAUGUGGCUGCUCUGGCUUAUCAGCAGGAACAUGAGAAUAAGAAGCCCAGCAUGGUAGUAUUCCAAAUGAUGAAGUCUGAGGAAAGCCUGCUUGAAAAUCAAGAACCAUCACAAAGGAGUAAAAAAGGUUGCAUAAUGAAUGAAGGAAAGGAAUUUGCUCCUGGUCACAGUGAAAUCCAUGACCUCGCAAUCCAGCAAGUUCCCCAACGAAAAGAAGGAAAAUAUCUCAGAUAUGUCAAAAAAGACAGAAAGAAAUCUGAUUUCAGUAAACAUUGCCCAAUGCAGAAUAAAAAGGAAGAAUAUGAAUAUGAAAAGAAUGGGCAAAUUAUCAAUCCUAGUCCCUCUCUUGCUUUACAUAACCCAUCAUAUAUCAAAGAGACAUCAUAUACAUUUAUAAAUUGUGGGGGAAUUUUCAGUUUGAACAGUCGUCUUAUUUCCCAUAAAAAUGAGGAACCACGUGAGUUUGGAAAGGAAUGUAAUCAGAAACGAUUGCAUGUUUUACCCCCCAAAAAUCCCUUAAGAGAGAAACCCUAUAAGUGUCCGCAGUGUGAAAAGACUUUCACCCAGAAAGGUAAACUUACCAUACAUGAAAGGAUCCACACGGGGGAGAAAACCUACAAAUGUCUGGAGUGUGAAAAGAUUUUCACCGAGAGGCGUAAGCUUAUCAUACAUGAAAGGAUCCACACGGGGGAGAAACCGUAUAUAUGCCUGGUGUGUGGAAGAAAAUUCAAUCAGAGCGGCCAACUUACAAGACAUCAACGAACCCACACAGGGGAGAAGCCGUAUAUGUGCCUGCAGUGUGGAAAGAAAUUCAGUGGCAGUUCAAACCUUAUGAUACAUAUAAGGAGACACACGGAGGAGAAACCAUAUAGAUGCUUGGAGUGUGGAAAAAGCUUCCGUGACAACAGCGUCCUUGUUUGCCAUAAAAGGAUCCACACCGGGGAAAAACCAUACAAAUGCAUGGAGUGUGGAAAGAGCUUCAGUCAAAACAGUAGCCUCUUCCGACAUAAAAGAAUUCACACAGGCGAGAAGCCGUAUCAAUGCCUGGAGUGCGGAAAGAGCUUCCGUCAGAAAAGCAGCCUUUUGCAACAUAGAAGGAUGCACACCGGGGAGAAACCCUAUACGUGCCCGGAAUGUGGAAAGAGUUUCAAUCAGAGCAGUCAUUUUAUUUGCCAUAAAAGGGUUCACACGGGAGAAAAACCAUACAAAUGCAUGGAGUGUGGAAAAGAUUUCAGCCAGAAUGGUAGCCUUUUGCAACAUAAAAGAAUUCACACAGGAGACAAUCCAUUCAAAUGCACCGAGUGUGGAAAAGGCUUCAGUAAGAACUAUAAACUCUUGCAGCACAAAAGGAUUCACACGGGGGAGAAACCGUACACAUGCAAGGAAUGUGGGAAGAGCUUCAGUUGCAGCAGUUAUUUUAUUUGCCAUAAAAGAAUUCACACGGGGGAGAAACCAUAUAAAUGUCUGGAGUGUGGAAAAGGUUUUAAUAAAAGCAGCCGUCUUACAUCUCAUAAAAGAAAGCACACAGGAGAGAAGCCAUAUCAAUGCACAGAGUGCGGGAAGAGGUUUUCCUAUAAUUUUAUCCUCCAAUACCAUCAACGAACGCAUACCGGGGAAAAACCAUAUAGUUGCCUGAUUUGUGGAAAGAAGUUCAGUGGACGUUCAAACCUUAGAAUCCACAUAAGAAUCCACACAGGAGAAAAACCACAUAAGUGUAUGGAGUGCGGAAAGAGCUUCCGUAAGGACAGUAACUUUAUUUGCCACAAAAGGAUCCACACAGGAGAAAAACCGUACAAAUGCAUGGAGUGCGGAAAGAGCUUCACUCAGAAUGCAAACCUUAUCAAACACAAAAGAAUUCACACAGGAGAGAAACCCUACAAAUGUGUGGCAUGUGAAAAAAGCUUCAGCCAGAAAAAUCACCUUUCUCAACACAUACAGACCCACAAAAGAGAAAAAUCAUAAUUCGGGAGCUUUCAUUCCAAAUGUUUAUUUUUCCUUUCAUAAAGAACCUAGUGGAAAGAAUAGAAAUGUGCGUACCGUACAGCAAUGUUCAGUUGGAGAGUAGCCUUAUCAGACCUAAAGGAAUCCAUGUGGGAGAACUAUAAAAAUACCCAAAGUGUGGGGAAAGACGCAAAAGGGCCAUUGUUUCCCAUAAAAGGCUUUAUUUUGUGAGAAUUGCUGGAACUUUCAAUACCAGCCCUGGCUUUUUAAGAGAAAUUACAGGCGCAAACUCACAUAAAGACAAAUGUGCAUUCAAGUAAGUUAGAUGGAAUUUAAAUGUGCAGUGAGUUGAUUCAUUUAGGAGAAAACGUAAGAACGUGGCCAAGAAUUUUUUUUUUACAAAGAUCUACAAUUGUAGAUUCCAAAGUGGCUCCAUUCACGAGAGAAACUAAAUGAACAUGGAAAGGGUAAUGAUGGAUGAAACUUCUUCAAGGUGGCCUUGAGAAAAGGCCGCUUCCUUUCCAUUACUUGAAAAUGAAUCGGAGUUGUUGCCAACAUUUUUUCCCCCAGAUGUCUUUGCGUGGCCACCUCAGGGCCCUUCAGUUGUGAGCCUGCACCAGUGAUGUUCCAGGUGAUCCAGAUUCUGGUGGUCCAGCUGACCUUCUGAUCUCUGUCUGGGUUGGUAACCGCUGCUACUUGUUGAGGCUUAAAUGUAUAUUCACAAAAAGUGUUCUAUAAAAAAAAGCGUAUUGAUAAAGAAAAUAUGUGGAACGCAACAACCGAAAGGAGGAGAAAAGAUUGAAAGAGCCUCCAAGGGGAAUGCUGUCAUAGAAGCAGGAAGUCAAGAGCAUGAGGUUGCAAUGAUGGUGUUGGGGUUGUUUAGGAAAUGUGUAAAGAAUGAACCUGGAAAAGUUGAAACCACAAAGUGAAGAGGGAGCAGAGGCUGAACUAAAUGAACUGAACCAUGCCAAGAAGGGCCAGUUUAAAUCUAAUGCUUAUGAGAAACCCUGUUCAAAGCAUGAGAUCAUCCAAACCAAUUUGGUGGCCAUUCAGAGAAGACCCUGGUGACUCGGGUUCCACCACAAAUCCACGAAGCCCU